UGACGAUUGCAUCCAUAGAAGUUGCCUUGG
rnacentral:piRNA from 1 species